GGUCUCACUAUGUAGUUGAGACUGACCCGGAACUCACUAUGUAGCCCAGGCUGGUCUCGAACUCACAGCAUUCCUCCUGCCUCAGCCUCCCGAGUGCUGGGAUUACAGACAUACACCCACCACACCCG
rnacentral:miRNA from 1 species